GAGAACCCUGACUCUAGGUAGCAGAGUCACUGUGUUUUCUCCAGGAUCUGAAGCACUUUUGGAAUCUGGGGAGCAAGUUUCUGUAUAAAGAUGGGAAGGGUCAUGAUUGGUCCCUCUUUGUGGGACCCUCCUGGGAGGAGGCUGCUGGCUGAGAUCCAUGGCGGACAGAGCCUCUGUAUGCACGAACCAGAGGGAAGAUUUUACUACUGGGCCUUCCAUUCCUCUGACUACACAGUGACCAGCAUUCAAUCAAGCAUGACUAGAUGUCUGAAGAAACAGUGAUAAGUGAAUAAAAUCCAAGGAAAAGAUGGAUAAGAAGAGGCGUAAGGACCCUUGGAAAUGCCUCCAUGUCCAUGUGCCUUGGAUGGGUUCCAUUCCGUUGACUAUGACUUCCUUUCUGAUGUAUCCUGAGCAGUCAGCCUCAGCUCUGCCGUGUCUCUGUGAAGGACCCUGCUGAUCAGAUUAAUGAGGAUACCCACCCCUGUCACGUGCUCACUCUCACAUUGAUCAAAUUCAUCACCGUGCUAUCCCGGGUGAAAUCGGACGAUGUGGCCUCCCUUCAGCAAGAACCCUGUGGAGUCGGUCUGGCCAGAACCCCAGAUCUGACAUCUCCUCUUGGUGAUUUUUCAUCGCUCACCCCUCCCUGCUCCUUGGUCAUAAAUCUCCGCUUGUCCGUGCUGUGUCGGCAUUGAGCCAAGUCUCCAGGGCUGCCUCAAAUACGCAGAUGCUCAAGAGAGGACUAUCCUGUGCCUGGACAGACCAUGGGGUGGUCCCUUGUGUGCAGGGAGAUCAGCCUCUAUUUGAAGAGCAAUCUCUACUGGAAGGCCUGGUUUGCUGAGGUCCACACUCUUACAGGGAGACAGCACAAGGACUCGUCAAAAUGCCUUUGCUUCUGAUGCUGACUAGGCCUCCAUCACCAAAAAAGAUACCGAUCCUCAGGGUUACAGGACAAAGAACCCACAGCACCCCUGUGGUUCAACCAAGAAGCUAACUCAAUCAUUGUCAUGGGGCAGGGAGGCCAACGUUGCUGAUAAUACAAAUCUGAGGAUGUCCUUAGGAAGACAUUUAUAAAUAUGGGCAUAGGAGAGAGGGACCCCUGAAGUAUAGCCAGGAGAAGAAGAGGAAGAAGGAGAAGGAUGAUGAUGAUGAGAGGGGUGGAGGAGGAGAUAAAGGAGAAAGAGGAGAAAUGUUGAAAAACAGUACAGGAAUAAAGCUGAAUACACCAAGCCAGGGGAAAAAUACCAUAAGAGUCUACAACUUGAACAACUUGGAAAUAUAUUUAUUAAAAGUAUUAUGCAAUACAAUAUAAAA
rnacentral:lncRNA from 1 species